GUGAUUUUCCGGGGCGCUCUCUUGGUUUUUAAUUCAUUUUUCCUCCGAGGAAAAGAUAACAAAACCAGGCGAGUCCCGUCGACCAAAGCAAGGCGAGUUUCAUCCCACAGCCGGCCCCCAUCCCAAGAGCAGGGUUCAAGCAGGGAAACACACGGUCCAAUAGAGCCAUGCUGGGUCCACUCCUGGUUGGCCACUGAUCUUCUGCUAGUAUCAGUGGCCUAAACAUCAGAAAAGGAUUUGGAGGUGAGAAUGCAACACCACGACUGGGUCUGGAGCUACCUGCACCUGCAAAGGAAAAAUGAGAUCAUCUGGACAACAGGACACAAAGACCCACCCCGUAGGGGUGCUCAUAGCCCAAGGCCCUGCUCUGAUGUAAUUGUAUCCAUCAUCCAUCGUGGGAGAAGCCCCCUGUUGGACUUCAGUCUGAAUCCAGCUGGUGUGGGGUCACCUGGGAGCUGCUGGGACUGUUCAUAGCACUCCCAGCCUCGCAGCGUUGGGGCCCAGAUGUCAGACUGGUUUUGACAGAUGGAUAAAGCAGCAGGGCAGAGGUGGGCAGGAGCACACAGGCAGGAAACAGACCGAGUUGUAGCACUGAGCAAGGAAAUCCAAAACGGACAGACACUAAUUCCCACACAUGCUUUAUCACUCGGGGUGAUAUAGGAUAGUAAUGGCAACCACGCAAACAGGAUGAGUCUCUCUUUACAAUGACACAAUGCAGAGGGAGUAAACCACACUUUCUCUGUACCUCAGCCACCCUGGGACAAGCUAUGGGUAUGGGAUUGAGGAGCUCUCCAGUUCCUCUCCCACCAAUUGCUGCAGCAAGCAACCCAAAGCACCCCCCAGCAUCUGAGCUAGGAUUUCUGAGGGAUGCUGCCAUGACACACACCUGGCACUGAAAUACUUCAGCAACAACCAAACAUAGGUGGGUUUCCUUUGCUGAAAGCUGGCCAGGUAGUACUGCUUUGAUAUGGAAGCAGUUGGACCCAUCUCUAUUCCCAGCCUCAUCACAUCGCUGCCUGAAUCCAGUCAUGCUCUCAGCUCCCAGGCAGAGAACUCUACAGAAGCUCCCAUCACAUCUCAGCUCCUCUUUCUUCACAGAGAGUAUAGGCAAAGUGUUUACCAAGCUGGGAACACUGGGAAAAAGUGUCCAAAAAAACCCAAAACAAAACAAAAAAACCAACCACCUUAUAAGCCACUCUUCACCUUUGUGAAGUCUCUCCCCCAAGAUAGCUAUCUAAGAUUUUCUUCCCAAAAUAAUACUGUUAAGUGAAGCAUGAAUUUAUUUAAACUGAAGGGAAAUAGAAAAAGAUUGAAGUUACAGAAAACCAUGACUUCCAAGGGCAAAAUUUGGUUUUGAGUUUUAGAGAUUUGACUUCCAUGAACUUCAGUACUUUCUUUACAAGUAAAACCUCACGAUGUGAGGGACAUCAAUAUUUAAAUUUACUUUUUCUCCUGAAAUGAUUUAUAAAAGUCCAUUUUCUGCCCCAUCUCCACAUCCCACUGCCAAAACCCAAGCACAAGGCAAGACCAAGCUGGUGGCUCAGCAAUCCCUCCCACUGCCUUCAACAUACUGAGAAGAGCAAAGAGCCACAGUUGUGCACAGGGUUUAAUCAGGAACACAUAGAUAUCUGUUUUCAUAAAACAACUAAGAAGCCACUAUGAUUGCUGCAGUGCAAUCACAGCACAGGUCAGAGAAGAGUCUCUUGGUGAAGCUGCCCUAACAGAGCACUGCUCAGAGCAGAGCACACCCACGUAUGCUCUCUUGUUCAUGAGGGAUUCCAGCCACGCGGUCCACAGAAAUGGUGAAGAAACCAUGACACAGCAUGACUGGGAACAUCCCCUACAAGAGCAGAUCUUUCCAAGGAACUUUGGCGUAUCGCUUAGAAACCACCCCAUCCCAUCAGAGCCCUGAUGCACACUGUCCAGGUUCCUCAGAGUAGGGAGACUACAGUUUUUAACCUGUCAUCCUGCACGGUCAUUCUGCAAGGCUCAUACGUGAAAUUUUGGCAUUUCCAUCAUGGAAACAGGCAACUAGGCUCAUUUCCUCCUCUCACCACCAGACUGAUUAGCUGCAAGCCCAGGCAGACAGCUGAAAUCCCAUCUUGCUUACUUCCUACUCACUCUCUUUUUCCUCUGGUAAUGCUCCUGCCAGGAGUGAUUUCAUUCACUCCUAACAUAAUGGCCUUUUCCCUCCCCUUAGGCCAGGAGCACACCUCUGUCAUGGAGAAUUUCCCUCUGUCUUGUACCUUCCACCCCAUCUGCCUGUAGCUGGGCUGGCAGGUUGGGUUUUUUCACUCUGUUUAAAAUGCUUUUGAAACAAAGGCUCUUUAAUCCCCCUUGGCCUGGCCAGGCACCUCUGUCAAUCCCAUCCUGAUAGUGCAGGCAAAGGAAGGAUCUCACAUGGAGAUGCUCAUGAGGUGGUAGAACCAAGUGUGAUGUUGCUUGGAGAGCAAACUCCUAGAACCACGUCCUAACGCCUGGCAGAAGGGACAAGGCCAGGAGCAGGACAUCUGCCUCCACAUUCCCCAGCCCUUCUGCCCAAAGUGGGGACAUCUUGUCUAAUAUCUGUGCUGCUUGAGAAGUUGAUUUUCUAGAGAGGAGAUAUCCUGGCUUAGAUUUUAGAGACCUCAUCUGCUUUUGAGAGCAUCCCACAGAUGAUCGAUGACUAAAAGUUCACACAAAAGGAAAUUUCAAGAAAAGGGUCUUCAGCCACAAUAGGCCAUUGCUCAUCACAUAAUUUCCCCAUGAUAAGGCAAGAGAGGCAAUUCAGACUCAAAUCAGACUGGACAACUGUGAAUCACAGCGUUUGUCUCACAUUCCUCCUAGCCAAAACUAUCCCUGCUCAGUCCUGCUUGGGGCUGGGAGUAUCAACCCAGAAACCUUUUCAUUAUUUUGGAGGUCCACAGAAAUCCACUGAAACCUUCUCCACUUCUGAAAAGCUGUGGUCACCGGGAUCCUCCACCUGGGAUGGGAACCUCCACAUCUCGGCAGCACUGGAUGCAGGGAGGCAGAUGACACCAGCACCAGAUCCCAUCAGAGUUGGGUGCACAGGAAAAGCAGAUUGUAGUUCACCCAUCGCCUCUUAGUUCUGGAGAUCCCCACACAUCACUUCUGCUCCUGCCUCAGUGGAUACAAACCCAGCUGCAUCUUGCCUUGUCAGGACAUGGGAUUUGCCUAAUUGCUUCUGCUUGGAUGAGUCCAUGCCAGGCUUGGUCUAUCUAUAAGAGAGGCUUGGAUCUCCAACAUCUCCUUCUAUUGGCUUUACACUGUCAUGCCUGCAGCUCUCAGGGCUGCUCCACAACCCACUUUUCCUGCUCACAACCCUCACCCCACAGCACUGACACUCAGCUCACUGGUCUGCCCAACUUGUGUUAGGAAAUCCCAUAGGCAACACAGAGCUGGCUUUGCCUUGCAAAGUCACAAAGGCCCAAGGCUGGCAGUUGCUAAUUAUUCUUUCGCUGCUUGCUGUCUUCUUAAGGAGCUGGGGGCUGGAUGUGGGCAGCCAACAAAAACCCAGGGGAUGGACAACAAACAGAGCAUCAGGGAAAGCUUUUUACCAGGCAGGUGGCCUUGCUGUAAGCAUCCUGGAAGACAGGUGCUAGCCCCCAUCCCAGGGUUGCCAAUCAUGUUUCCAUCACAAGUUUUUCAGAUGGGCAAGGAUUUGUUCACAUUUCAUCAUUAUUCAUUUUUUUUUUUCCUUGGACCAUGGUUGAGAAGCCCUGGUUGCAAAGCUCAGUGUGAAAACCACGAUCCUUCUUGCACAACCCAGAAGGCAAAGAAUGACCUAGCAUUGCUCAUGGUGGUGAAAAAGCAGAUGGAUGGGAUGGAUGCCCCAUUUCUUUUUGAGCUAAUCUCAAGAGUUCGGCUGCCUGAGAGAAAAGCCUGAAAAGCUUUGGGUCCAUGAUGGCCAGCUGCCAGGAGCACAGCCCAGUGUUGGCCAGAGCCUAUAGAAAGGAUGUUAGCACAGCCAGACUGUGGCCCUUGGCUGCUGUAGACACACUGUCAUCUCUCCACCAAAAGGAGACCAAACAACUAACCAAACAGCAGCACAUAUCUUCCAUCAGCAGGCACAGGCGCAGCAGACAUCGAAGCCUUUGCUAAAUGCACUCGUGGGCCACCAGCUGAGAGCUGGCAUUGGGCUAAUUACAUCAAAAUUCAUUAAGUCAAUUACUGCCUGUGUUCCCAAGGGGCUGAAGAGGGAUUCCAGCAAGUGCUGAGCACACUGCAGCAGUGCAGUGCCAGGAGGCUCUGUCUCUUUCAGUGGCCCAAGCAGGAUGCAGUCACCAUUUCCGUCCUAUACUUGGGGAUCUUCCCGACAAACCAUUUGGGAAGCAGGAUGGGAAAGAGCCUUAAGAAUUAGGAAACCACUGGAGGGUAUUUUUCACGUGGGACAUCUUUGCUCAACAACACAGAAUGCACCUGAGGAGAUGACAGCUGCUGACCAUUGCUAAACAGCAUCACUUGGAGAGGAAGGAUCAGAAAAGAGGACAGUACGAGCUUAUACCCAACACUCCCACCUCCCCACGUUGCCUUGGAGGUGCAUGAAAUCAUUAACCUGUACAAAGGGACAGACGGGGAGCAUCACUGACAGAUGCCAGCACUUCUGGCUGCACAGCUCUGAAAUUAUGGGACCAGAGCUUUGAGAUGCAGCAGAGCACUGCAGUGCACUGCCAACAGCCCACACCAACAGCCACAGACCAAAAGGCAGCAGCCACAUCACCAUUGGCCUGGGCUUCACGUGUCACUGAUUGACUCAGGUUUUAAUUACACCCCAAUAUCCCCCUGUCUCCUACAACACAAAGCUUUCAGCCAGGCAGAGAUUCAUAAAGAGCAGCAGCAACCACAGCAGCCCAGCCUUCAAGUCAGAUGCUAACAGCUUUGGACAAGUGUGGGAUUUUUAUACCCCUAUCUGCAGAGAAAUCUGAUGUUUAGUGCCCUGACUGCAAACAGGUCACCCUUAAACCCCU